rnacentral:misc_RNA from 1 species
CAACCCUCAAGCCCCCUGUGGACUUGGUGUUGGGGACCGGCGGCUGACCUUCCAGCCGCCGCCCCCGAAAUGAAUUGGCGGCCUCGUCGCGGCCCUCCUCUGCGUAGUAGCACACACCUCGCAACAGGAGCCCGGCGACGGCCACUGCCGUAAAACGCCCAAACUUUUUUAGAG